GCGGUGUCGUUUCACUAUCGUAAUACCUAAACACGGCCUAUGUUUUUAUAUUAGCAAUCCGAGCGACAUGGGGAGGCGGUGCUGGUGUACACACGACUCUACUGGGACUGGACUGGGGCUCUACUGGCCUGGCUUUAUUCCCCACCACGAAGAACUGGUUACUCUUUAAAUAAAGAUGAGAAAGGAAGAAGAAACAUGUUUAGCCUUUACACUAAUCGGUUUUGCUUGUUGCUAUUAAACAUGGCGGUCGUACGCAUGUUGUCUUCAUGUAGGAAUGAAACAUCCAGUGAGGGAAAGGUCCUAAAGGCUACAACAUUCA